rnacentral:rRNA from 1 species
AGCGAACGCUGGCGGCAGGCCUAACACAUGCAAGUCGAGCGCCCCGCAAGGGGAGCGGCAGACGGGAGAGUAACACGUGGGAACGUGCCCUUUGGUUCGGAACAACCCAGGGAAACUUGGGCUAAUACCGGAUAAGCCCUUACGGGGAAAGAUUUAUCGCCGAAGGAUCGGCCCGCGUCUGAUUAGCUAGUUGGUGGGGUAAUGGCCCACCAAGGCGACGAUCUGUAGCUGGUCUGAGAGGACGAUCAGCCUCACUGGGACUGAGACACGGCCCAGACUCCUACGGGAGGCAGCAGUGGGGAAUAUUGGACAAUGGGCGCAAGCCUGAUCCAGCCAUGCCGCGUGGGUGAUGAAGGCCCUAGGGUUGUAAAGCCCUUUCGGCGGGGAAGAUAAUGACGGUACCCGCAGAAGAAGCCCCGGCUAACUUCGUGCCAGCCGCCGCCGUAAAAC